CAAUAGCGUAUAUUUAAGUUGCUGCAGUUAAAAAGCUCGUAGUUGGAUUUCGGGUGGGAAUGGCCGGUCCGCCGUUUCGGUGUGCACUUGCUACGCCCACCUUGCUGCCGGGGACGUGCUCUUGAGUUCACGCUCGGGACACGGAGUCGGCGAGGUUACUUUGAGUAAAUUAGAGUGUUCAAAGCAGGCCUACGCUCUGAAUACAUUAGCAUGGAAUAACACGAUAGGACUCUGGCCUAUCUUGUUGGUCUGGAGGACCGGAGUAAUGAUUAAGAGGGACAGUCGGGGGCAUUCGUAUUUCAUUGUCAGAGGUGAAAUUCUUGGAUUUAUGAAAGACGAACUACUGCGAAAGCAUUUGCCAAGGAUGUUUUCAUUAA
rnacentral:rRNA from 1 species